rnacentral:rRNA from 1 species
CCUAAUGAGACUGCCGGUGACAAACCGGAGGAAGGUGGGGAUGACGUCAAGUCCUCAUGGCCCUUAUAGGUAGGGCUACACACGUCAUACAAUGGAUGGUACAAAGGGUCGCCAACCCGCGAGGGGGAGCCAAUCCCAUAAAACCAUUCGUAGUCCGGAUCGCAGUCUGCAACUCGACUGCGUGAAGUCGGAAUCGCUAGUAAUCGUGGAUCAGAAUGUCACGGUGAAUACGUUCCCGGGUCUU